rnacentral:rRNA from 1 species
UACGAAGGGUGCAAGCGUUACUCGGAAUUACUGGGCGUAAAGCGUGCGUAGGUGGUUUGUUAAGUCUGAUGUGAAAGCCCUGGGCUCAACCUGGGAAUUGCAUUGGAUACUGGCAGGCUAGAGUGCGGUAGGGGAGACUGGAAUUCCUGGUGUAGCGGUGAAAUGCGUAGAUAUCGGGAGGAACACCUGUGGCGAAAGCGGCGCACUGGACCACAACUGACGCUGAGGCGCGAAAGCUAGGGGGAGCAAACAGG